rnacentral:rRNA from 1 species
UAAUACGGAGGGUGCAAGCGUUGUUCGGAAUUAUUGGGCGUAAAGCGCGUGUAGGCGGCUGUCUAAGUCUAAUGUGAAAUCCCGGGGCUUAACUCCGGAACUGCAUCGGAUACUGGACAGCUAGAGGAUGAGAGAGGGUGAUGGAAUUCCAGGUGUAGGGGUGAAAUCCGUAGAUAUCUGGAGGAACAUCGGUGGCGAAGGCGGUCACCUGGCUCAUUUCUGACGCUGAGACGCAAAAGCGUGGGGAGCAAACAGGAUUAGAUACCCUGGUAGUCCACGCCCUAAACGAUGGACACUAGACGUCGGGAUUUCCAAUAGUCUCGGUGUCGUAGCUAACGCAUUAAGUGUCCCGCCUGGGAAGUACGGUCGCAAGAUUA